rnacentral:rRNA from 1 species
CACGUAGGGGGCGAGCGUUGUCCGGAUUUAUUGGGCGUAAAGAGCUCGUAGGCGGCUCGGUAAGUCGGGUGUGAAAACUCGGGGCUCAACCCCGAGACGCCACUCGAUACUGCCAUGGCUAGAGUCCGGUAGGGGAGCGUGGAAUUCCUGGUGUAGCGGUGAAAUGCGCAGAUAUCAGGAGGAACACCGAUGGCGAAGGCAGUUCUCUGGGCCGUAACUGACGCUGAGGAGCGAAAGCCAGGGGAGCAAACGGG